GAUGAACGCUGGCGGCGUGCCUAAUACAUGCAAGUCGAGCGAACAGAUGAGGUGCUUUCUUCUCUGACGUUAGCGGCGGACGGGUGAGUAACACGUGGAUAACCUACCUAUAAGACUGGGUUAAAUUAGGGAAACCGGAGCUAAUACCGGAUAAUAUAUUGAACCGCAUGGUUCAAUAGUGAGAGACGGUUUUGCUGUCACUAAUAGAUUGAUACGCGCUGCAUUAGCUAGUUGGUGAGGUAACGGUUUACGAAGACAACGAUGGGUAGCCGCCCUGAGAGGGUAAGAGGCCACACUGGAACUGAGACACGGUCCAGACUCCUGCGGGAGGCAGCAGUAGGGAAUCUUCCGGAAUGGGCGAAAGCCGGAAGGAGCAACGACGCGGGAGUGAUGAAGGUCUUCAGACCGUAAAAUUCUGAAAUCAGGGAAGAACAAAUGUGUAAGUAACUAUGCACAUCUUGACGGUACCUAAUCAGAAAGCCACGGCUAACUACGUG
rnacentral:rRNA from 1 species